rnacentral:rRNA from 1 species
AGUGAACGCUGGCGGUAGGCCUAACACAUGCAAGUCGAACGGCAGCACAGUAAGAGCUUGCUCUUACGGGUGGCGAGUGGCGGACGGGUGAGGAAUACAUCGGAAUCUACUUUUUCGUGGGGGAUAACGAAGGGAAACUUACGCUAAUACCGCAUACGACCUACGGGUGAAAGCAGGGGAUCUUCGGACCUUGCGCGAUCGAAUGAGCCGGUGUCGGAUUAGCUAGUUGGGGGGGUAAAGGCCCACCAAGGCGACGAUCCGUAUCUGGUCUGAGAGGAUGAUCAGCCACAUUGGAACGGGGACACGGCCCCGACUCCUACGGGAGGGAGCAGUGGGGAAUUUUGGACAAUGGGCGCAAGUCUGAUCCAGCCAUUCCGCGUGGGUGAAGAAGUCGUUCGGGUUGUAAAACCCUUUUGUUGGGAAAGAAACGCAGCAGGUUAAUACCCCGCUGUUCUGACGGUACCCAAAGAAUAAGCACCGGCUAACUUCGUG